UACGGGGGGGGCAAGCGUUGUUCGGAAUUACUGGGCGUAAAGGGCUCGUAGGUGGCCAACUAAGUCAGACGUGAAAUCCCUCGGCUUAACCGGGGAACUGCGUCUGAUACUGGAUGGCUUGAGUUCGGGAGAGGGAUGCGGAAUUCCAGGUGCAGCGGUGAAAUGCGUAGAUAUCUGGAGGAACACCGGUGGCGAAGGCGGCAUCCUGGACCGACACUGACACUGAGGAGCGAAAGCCAGGGGAGCAAACGGG
rnacentral:rRNA from 1 species